rnacentral:lncRNA from 1 species
CUAGCCCAUCACCUGGCAUGCAGGAGAUGGAUUCAGUAUUUAUGAGAUGAAUGAAUAAUGUCAACCAAAGCGCUAGCUUCAGCCAUUGCCUGUGUGCUGAGGACUCAAAUCAUCUCCAGCCCUUUCUCUUCUGAGCCCUCGACAAAACACCCAACUGCUGAACAUACAACAGACAGAUGAUGGAUGCCUCCCGGAUGGGGCCAGUGCCGCUUCUGACCUCAUCCUACGCAAGGAUGCACUUUGACUAGCUGCGCAAACUCUCUGGACUCAAGCGUGAAGCAACUUGAUUGGCUCCACUAAGUACCUGAAGAAGGUCAAAUUACUCUGAUCACGACAUGCUAAUUAUGUCUCUUCCGAAGGUUGCAUUUCUUUCGGCGUGUUCUCUGGUUGGGAUGAAGUAAUCACUUAUGACUUGGGUGCUUGGAACCGCCAUGGCUGAGUUUCUGUUUUCUGUGAAGUCCGUGGCCUUAGGUUGGCAGGAGUCUGGUCAUCAUCUUAGGGGUGGUGUUGAGUGUGGUCAAGCAAGGAUAUUCUGGAGCCAGACUUCCGGCCGGACUCCCUGGUCUGCCCCUUAAAAGGAAAACAAAAAGAUGCCCCCUCCUCUUGUGGUCAUCCAGUGGAGGCACGAAGGGAUCCCACCCCUAGUUUGUUUGGAUGUCAAGGCUGAUGAUACCACACAAACACCGAAAGGGUUUGAAACACUUCAUCACACGUGGGCUUACAGCAGCAGCUUGGACAGAGAUGAGGCCCUGGGCCAGCAAAAGAGGGGAGAUAAAAACAAGACCCUUACAUAAAUCUGAGAAGCUGGAAACAAUUCUUCCCGCGGCCAAAGGUGAUGACGAGAUUCUGUCUGUCUUAGGCUGCACUCAGUCUUCUAGAAAGCAGUUCAGUGGCUGCCAGGGACUGGGAGGAGGGGGGAUGGGGACUAAUGGGUACCAGAUUUCCUCUCAGGGCGAUGAAAGUGUUCUAGAACCAGACCGUGGUGAUGGUCGCAUUAUACUGUGA